CGAAUAUGGAUAAAUGGUAUAUCGUUAAUCUUCCACAUUAGAGAUUACAGGUUCGAAUCCUGUUAUUCGCUA
rnacentral:tRNA from 1 species